UGCCGUUGAGGGAUGGGUCCGCGCUCCAUUAGCUUGUUGGUGAGGUAACGGCCCACCAAGGCUUCGAUGGAUAGCCGGCCUGAGAGGGCGAUCGGCCACACUGGGACUGAGAUACGGCCCAGACUCCUACGGGAGGCAGCAGUAGGGAAUAUUGCGCAAUGGACGCAAGUCUGACGCAGCAACGCCGCGUGGGUGAUGAAGCAUCUUGGUGUGUAAAACCCUGUCAGUGGGGAAGAAACGUGUUGGGAGUAACUGCCCUUCACCUGACGGUACCCACAGAGGAAGCACCGGCUAACUCCGUGCCAGCAGCCGCGGUAAUACGGGGGGUGCAAGCGUUGUUCGGAUUUACUGGGCGUAAAGGGCGCGUAGGCGGACCAUCAAGUCGGAUGUGAAAUCUGGCAGCUUAACUGCCAGUCUGCACUCGAUACUAUUGGUCUUGAGUACAGUAGAGGAAAGCGGAAUUCCAGGUGUAGCGGUGAAAUGCGUAGAUAUCUGGAAGAACACCGGUAGCGAAGGCGGCUUUCUGGGCUGAUACUGACGCUGAAGCGCGAAGGCUAGGGUAGCAAACAGGAUUAGAUACCCUGGUAGUCCUAGCGGUAAACGAUGGGUACUAGGUGUCGGGGGUAUCGACCCCCUCGGUGUCGCAGCUAACGCAUUAAGUACCCCGCCUGGGGAGUACGAUCACAAGGUUGAAACUCAAAGGAAUUGACGGGGGCCCGCACAAGCGGUGGAGUAUGUGGUUUAAUUCGAGGCAACGCGAAGAACCUUACCUGGGCUUGACAUGUUUAGGACCGUCUGUGAAAGCAGGCUUUCCCUUCGGGGAUCUUUACACAGGUGCUGCAUGGCUGUCGUCAGCUCGUGCCGUGAGGUGUUGGGUUAAGUCCCGCAACGAGCGCAACCCUUGUCCCUAGUUGCCAGCAGGUCAUGCUGGGCACUCUAGGGAGACUGCCGGUGAUAAGCUGGAGGAAGGUGGGGAUGACGUCAAGUCCUCAUGGCCCUUAUGUCCAGGGCUACACACGUACUACAAUGGCCGGUACAGAAGGUUGCAAUACCGCGAGGUGGAGCUAAUCCCCAAAGCCGGCCCCAGUUCGGAUUGGAGUCUGCAACUCGACUCCAUGAAGUCGGAAUCGCUAGUAAUCGCUGAUCAGCAGGCAGCGGUGAAUACGUUCCCGGGCCUUGUACACACCGCCCGUCAAGCCACGGAAGUUGG
rnacentral:rRNA from 1 species